AUGUUCACUGUUAUAUUCAUGUGUCUGUGGCUUUCACUAGGUGACUCCAUGGCAGAUUCAAUACAGCCACUUUCCCCUCGUGAAGUUGUAGAUGAAGGUGUUGAUGUUACUCUGUCCUGCAGCUACAGUGGUUCAGUAAACACCCUGUACUGGUACAGACAAUAUCCAAAAUCUAAACCUGAGUUCCUUCUUUUCAUCACUCCAAGUGGAUUUAAAACUGACCCUCUUCCAUCACGUCUGUUUCCUAAAGUUGAUGAUAAAAAUAAACGAGUGGAUCUGCUCAUCUCCUCUGCUGCUGUAUCAGACUCUGCACUAUACUACUGUGCUCUGGAGCCCACAGUGACAGGAAAUCCAACUGCACUGUACAAAAACUUUAACACAGUUUUGUUCUACUGAAGGCAGAUCAAUAAGUUCAAUAAUAACAAAGUUCAGUAAUUUACACCCCUUCAAACCUCUCUCUCUCUCUCUCUCUCUCUGUUAUCCUUCCUCUCUUUCUAUCUGUUAAUUAUAAGACAGUUUUGUUAAACUGAAGGCAGAUCAGCUGCUAAUGUUCAAUAAUUUACAUGUCUUUCGAGCUAGCAGACAGGAGCCCUGCUAUUCUUUCUUUCUUUCUUUUUCUGAAACAUUUUUCAUUUUCAUAGACACACAAUGAGGGAAAAACCUGUUUCGAGUUUAAUUGGACUGUUUAGAGUAACAAAUCUGUUAUAUGUUGGUCUGUGGCAUUCAUGUCUGGAAUGAUGAGACAUUUAGGAAACUGACUCUCGGUGUUCUGGUAAC